CUGAGAUUUACCGUGCUUGUGCAUUCUGUCAUUGGUGUAUUUAUUCAUAUUGGAGUCAGAGGCUCACAAUAGAGCAGCUAAAUAUCAGCACAACACAGCUGCAGACUCCAGCAGUACAUGUGAUCAUUUAUAAAUUGCUGAUCAAAUUCUACCCAGAGUUACAUUUAUGCAGUACUAUUGACUUAAAUAGGGUUGUCUGAAAGUACUAAGCACGGAACGUGCCCCCACAAAUCUUUCAUAAUGUUGGGACAGUUAUCCUUUGACAUCAGCUUCCCAGCAUAUACUGUGGAAGAAGUCAUCUUUAUUAAAGCAGCAAUACAAAACACUAUUAUACGUUCUUUUUUUCAGUGCAUGGAGAAAAAUACUCUGCUUGUUUGUGGGGGUCAGUUUGUUUGUUUGUUUUAUGAGGUAGUUUAUUUGUUAUUGUGGUUUAUAUGUAGUUUGUUGUUAUGGGUUGGACUAGAUGAUCUCCAGAGGUCCCUUCCAACCAUUCUGUGAUUUUGGGGAAUCGUAAGUAUCAAGAGAACUGGUUGCCCUUUCCCUUAUUUUCCUUAACUAGAGUAAACUCUCAGGAUGCUUCAGGCUUUUAUUUCUGAAAGAUGAGUUUCCUGCUUGCCCAGCUGACAUCCCCUCUGUUUGAGACCUCUUCUCUUCCCUUGUGUGCUCAUCCAGGAACAGCCUAACACGCAGAGGAUUCACACCUGGGCUCUGUUGAAUGUAAUCCCUUGAUUUUCACCAGCCUGGACAAAUGGAGCCAUCAGCCCUGUGGAGAGCUGGAACAGAGCAGGACAGGCUGUCUGCAGCGUCAUUGCAGCUCCUGGAUCUUGAGAGCAUCCUGGAUCCCAGGCUGGUCCUAGAACAUGCUGCCAAGUAUUUCUUCUGCUCUACAGGCACCAUCUGCUAUUGAUGGGCAAGGUACAGCCCUUCCUGAGCAGCCACCAGGAUUCUGCAACCAAGGACUCUGAGAGAUGGAUGAACUAAUUGUAGGACUAGCACCUUUUCAUGGUGAAACUGUUGCCUUCUUGGGAGCGUUUCAAAUAAACUCAGGCAUGGGUUCCAGAGAUUCUUCUUAAGUUAUUUGUUUGCAAGACGCAGCAUGGAGCAGCUCGAGCUGGGCGCCCCUGAAGAAGGACCCUCAGCCAGAAGAACCCUGGACAACUACAGCCCCACAAUCCGAACCUCCCGCCCGCUGCACAUCACCCCGGCUAACUGCGGAUUUGGAGGCUGUUGUCUCACUGUUCUCCUGUGGAUCUCUUCCUUUUUGUCAGGCGGGCUGUCCAAGUCCUGACCUUCAGUUGCUAUUCUGUACCUGCACUUGACAAAAGUGAGUUCUUGGCAAUAACUGAAACAUUCUUCUGCUUCAUCUUUUAGACACCGUUCUGUUCUUUUACUGAUUUCCAAGUACGCGACUCCCCUUAUCUUCCGAGGUCGUCUUUGCUUAAUGAGGCAGAAAGUUCAAAAGUUUCCAAGUAAGCAAAUUUUUUAUAAGCCAUUUCUAAACAAGUUCUAUAAGAAGCAGUAUACCAAAGAAUUCAAUACGCUAGGGCAGUCUGUUCCCUAAGAGUUAAUGUCAGUUGUAAUGAGAUGGAAUAAACCCAUCUUCCAUUUGUUCGCAAAGUAUACAAAUUGCACAACACAGCAAAUGAAGAAUGGGAUGUGAUGGGAAGGAGGAAUGUCUUGUUCUUCUUUUCACAAUAAGAUUUAUAACUCUGUGAACUGCAGCCAUUCCCAGUCUUAAUGUAGCCAGCCAUAGAACAGCCUUGGUUGUGACAGGAACUGUACCUUUCUUAAACUUCACAUGCCUUGGCCAUGACUUCCUUAAUGCUUCUUGGAUAUUUUCUCUCUUCAUUUUCCUUUUGUUGUUUCACUAGCAAUCCUGAGACGACAAAUUGUGGGAUAAUGUCCUCUCCGUUUGGCAGCUUGGCAGAGAAAUGAGAUCUGAAAUGGAAAGAACCUUGCAGCUCAGGGAGGGCAGGGCUGGAUCGUUCUGUGUGGCAUCGUGGGGAAAAGAGAGGUACGCACCUACUUGGACUAUAGAACUGCAUUGUUAAGCAGAUGAUAUCAACUAAAUUGAGCUUGCCCUGGAGCAGAAAAGCCCCGCUCACUGUGGAGUAUUUGUACUCGUGUCAGCGAGGAAUACAUUUCUGUCCAAGUCCUUUUUAUGCAAGAUUGAGUACACUUUGCAGAUUGUGGAGCUACAUGUGCAAAUAUCCACUCUGGGGAGCAGCGCGCUUGUAAUUGGUAAUUUGCCCGGGUAUCAAGGAGCUAUUUGUGCUGCGAAACAUCAUGCAUGACGGCAAGUUGUUUUCAGAAUUAAAGGCUAUGGUACCUUAUUUUGCAUCCUG